AUGAGUAAAGGAAAGGCUAAAGGAUUUCGUGAGGAUGAGCACGACACCUUAUGGUUUGAGGAUCGCAUAUAUGUGCCUAAUGACCCUGAGAUCAAGAAGUUGAUUCUACAAGAGGCCCAUGAUUCACCAUACUCGAUUCACCCAGGAAAUAUUAAGAUGUAUCUGGAUCUGAAGGAAAGUUUCUGGUGGACAGGAAUGAAGAAGGAUAUAGCCGAGAAUGUAGCAGUAUGUGAUGUAUAUCAUAGAGUCAAGGCAGAGCAUCAGAAACCAGCCGGAUUGCUACAGCCAUUACCGAUACCCGAAUAG
rnacentral:rRNA from 1 species